rnacentral:rRNA from 1 species
AGAAUGAACGCUGGCGGCAUGCCUAACACAUGCAAGUCGAACGAAGCCUUCGGGCUUAGUGGCGCACGGGUGCGUAACGCGUGGGAAUCUGCCCCUCGGUUCGGAAUAACAGUGGGAAACUACUGCUAAUACCGGAUAAUGACGUAAGUCCAAAGAUUUAUCGCCGAGGGAUGAGCCCGCGUAGGAUUAGCUAGUUGGUGUGGUAAAGGCGCACCAAGGCGACGAUCCUUAGCUGGUCUGAGAGGAUGAUCAGCCACACUGGGACUGAGACACGGCCCAGACUCCUACGGGAGGCAGCAGUGGGGAAUAUUGGACAAUGGGCGAAAGCCUGAUCCAGCAAUGCCGCGUGAGUGAUGAAGGCCUUAGGGUUGUAAAGCUCUUUACCCGGAUGAUAAUGACAGUACCGGGAGAAUAAGCUCCGGCUAACUCCGCGCCAGCAGCCGC